rnacentral:rRNA from 1 species
UACGUAGGGGGCUAGCGUUGUCCGGAAUCAUUGGGCGUAAAGAGCGCGUAGGCGGCCAGAUAAGUCCGGUGUGAAAGUCAAAGGCUCAACCUUUGAAUGCCGCUGGAAACUGUCUGGCUAGAGUCCGGGAGGGGCGAGUGGAAUUCCUGGUGUAGCGGUGAAAUGCGCAGAUAUCAGGAGGAACACCAUGGCGAAGGCAGCUCGCUGGAACGGUACUGACGCUGGAGGGCGCGAAAAGCGUGGGGGAGC